UUUUUUUAAAUAUACUACUGCGAUAUAUUCCAUCCCUUACAAACAUACAUUCAGUAUUCUAAGGCACAAGUUAACUAUUUGGAUAUAUAUCAGUUUAAGUUAAGUAACAAAAUAUAAUUAUUUUGCCUCUAUUCAAAAUAUACAAAAGUUGUCUUAUCCCAAUCCUUGUGGAACAUAUCCAAACAGGCGUUCAAAGGCAUAUCUUAAUCAUAAUAUGGGGAAUUGGGUUGGGGUGACUUCUAAUAACCCAAUAAGACUAUCACUAAUAGAUUUACACAAACAAUGUUUUGCAAACCAAUAAAAGUA
rnacentral:lncRNA from 1 species